UUUAACCAUUGCAAUACCCUAAGUAAUGAGAGAAAGAAAAUUUGGAGUCUGCGGAGGUGGUGAUUACGUGGCGCAGAGCAUCCUUCCUCUGCAGAGCAUCGAUUGCCCAAGCGUGGUUUCGGGUGGUUCAGGGAGGCUGUGGAGGGCUAUCUUGCUUUCUGGGUGAACUGCCCUUGUGAGGACUUUGGAGGGGGUGCCCCCUUUUAAUAGGGGUUCAAGGCCUGUAACACCUCUCCUAUGAAGAGAGGCUGAGUUGGGGUUGCUCAGCUUGGAGAAGGGAAGGCUUGUUGUGGCCUUUGAAUGUAUAAAGGGGGUGUAUGAAGACCGAGAGAAACAUUUUACCGGGGACUGUAGUGACAGAACAAGGGGUAACCAUUUAAACUAGAAGAGGAUAGAUUUACAUUCUAUAUAAGGAAGAAGUUAUUUACAAUGAGGGUGGUGAGAUGCUGGAACAGGCUGCCAGAGGAGCUGUGGAUGCCCCGUCUCUGUAAGUGUGCGAGGUCAGGUUGGACAGGGCUUUGAGCAACCUGGUCUAGUGAAAUAUGCCCCGGCUCAUGGGCAGGGGGGUUGGACUAGCUGAUCUUUAAAAGCUGAUCUUUAAAAGUCCUUUCCAACCCAAACCAUUCUUUGACUCUAUAACCAGACUCCCCCUGCAGUCUUGUCCUGGAUCAAAAAGGGCUGCACCAACAAAUGCGGGCUCUGUGCUGACUGCCGCCCCAUGGCUCAGCUGCAAGUGCAGGGAUGUGACCCUGAUUUGUGGUCAAGGCCACAAAUCAUUAGCCUGCUGCCCAUGGGGCCUGGCAGAGCCCUGGAUCUCAGUCUUGUACAUUGCUGCUGCACUGGACCCUGCAGAAGAGGCUUCUUCCCUCCCCACAGCCUUUUCUUAUUUUGUAUUAACUCUAUUUUCCUACUAACAUUACCUUGUGUCAAGGUGCCCUAGUGCCAGAGCCUUUAAAUGGGAAACUCAAGCUGUUGAGAGUUCCAAGAUGUCUUAGGCUGCUUGUUAUUUCUGAAGGCAAUGUCUGAGAAAAAAGGACUACCAGAGGCCUAGAACAAUAAGUAGUCUAUUCGAGCUUUGUUUACAGUAACAUGAUCUCUUCAAGGCCUGCAAAGUAAUCUUUUAGAGACUAAGUUUCAGAAGCAGAACGGAAAAGCAGCUGGAUUUUUAUCUUUUUAUCCUUUCUUUUUUUCCUGCAUUGUUUUUCAUGGCAUGGCAGUGCUUUUCCAAGUAUAGCAGCUUAAUGCAAAGUCAAUGAAGUCUUGCAGUGAAAUAGUAUAUUAAAAACAAAACCGACUUUGACCUUCUGCACAAGCCUUGGAAAGAUCGGCUUGGCCUAAAAUAUUCCUGGCCAAAGUGUUUUUAAUCUGUUAUUCAAAUCCUCUGAUCUCCCAGGCAAUCUGUCUCGGAGAAAUUCUGUACCAGAAGUGUCUUGUAAUUUUAAUGUUCGCCCUGCUCUUUGCAGGCACCUUUUAGGUUAUCUGAAGACAGCUUCAAAUCUUGAUCUUUUCACCUCUGAAUUUUAUUAUUAUCUUUUGAUCUCUGAUUCUUCUUAUCCCCAUUUCUUCAGCUGAUCUGGAGUUCCUUGAACUGGACCCCAAGGCUUUGCUAAGUGAGUAGUGGGAGAUUACCUUGGGUAUUCGUAGACAACACUUGUUAGUAUUUCUGAAUAUGAAAUCAGAUAUAGGUGAGAGUCCUUUUGUAAUAUAACAUAUAACACAUAUAACAAUCAGAUAAUAUAACACAACAUUGUUGACUUAUGCGUGGCCUGUGACACACGAUGUUCCCCAGACCCUUUUCAGCAGACAGCUGCAUGCCACAGUGUUCCUUGUCUCAUACUUGUGCAGUUUCUACAUAGUCAUUCCUAGCUGUCCAUGCUAAAUUGCUCAUUCCGGGUUGUUUUUCCAGUUUGUCUAGAUCACCUGAGUUCUGAUCUUGCUGUCGAUGUUUUGCAGCCCCUCCCAGGUUGCUGCAGCCUGCAAAGGCCUGUCUUGUUCCUGUGUGCUUGAACUCUUCCCACCAAGCUUUAUUUAAUUCUACUGAAGGUUUUAUUUGUCAUUACUGAACCCCAUUGCAGCAGGCAUGCACUUCAAAGGGGGCAGGGGGGCACUUUAUGAUUUAGCACAGGGAACAUCAAGGGCUUGUUGGUAUAAUGUUUGGGAUGUCGAGGGUUGGUUCACUAAGGAAUGAGCAUGGGGGAGUUUCCCUUUCAUUCGUCUUUUCUUGAUUGGGGUUUUGUUUUCUGUCCAAGUUACACGUGUGGAGCAAUGUUGUAUGAAUGUAGAGGAGUUUAUUAAGCUUGAUGAGAGGGAGACUGUGAGUCAAUAGAGGUGCUUAUAUUUGUGCGUGUCUUCCAUAGGGGUUUUGUGAUAAAGGGAAGGAAGUUGCAGAGCUCUUACAAUUGGGUAGUAUUACUUAGGUCAGACAUUUUGCCUCUUAGUCCAGGGCCUUAUGUGUGCAGUACAGAUACAGUCUUGGAGAGGAGAGCUAAUCUGACACCCAAGGAAACUCAGAUUUAAUGGUUCUCCUCUGGACUCAGGCUGUUUUUCCAGAUAGUUCGCAAGCUAUGUCUGAUCUUGCAUCCGCUUUGCCAAUGUGUGGUGCCUCCAGCUCAGGGUGUGACUCAGAUAUCAGUUGGAAGUUCUUGAGCCCUUCAGGCUCCAUAGAUUGGGCUCAGCUGUGACCUUCUUUCCUUUUAUUCUGCUGAGGCGUAUCCCAACAUAAUUUACAACCCACCAGGAUGCAUCCCCAAGUGAGCUGGAAUGAGGGCCUGUGCUUUCCCUGGUUUCUUCUUCUCUGGGAGCAUUUAGCUUCCCUGCUGGAUGGUGGAAUGUGGACUCAUCAAACAGAGAAAGCAGAAAAGAAAGAGUUGACAAUGGCUUAGGAAACAUAGGACCUACCAGCACAUACAGCAGCAGCACUGGCGCAUGACUGAGAGAAAAAGUAAAGGCUGUGAUUUAAUGUCAUUGCUUAGAGACCCUCUUCCGUUUGUCCCAUUUUCUUUUAUGUCUGAAUGGUGGCAGUUCGGGUGGAAGAGGCUUUGCAGGUGAUGCUGGAGGGGUGAGAUAUGAGAGAAGGUUCCCCUUCAUUUUCGUGGCAAGAAGUGACUCUGUUGGUUGCCUACUGCCCUUGGUGACACCCAGGGAAGAUCUGGGAGAAGGUGAGCCUGGGUGGAUCUGGGAGAGUGGGAAAGGGACCAGAAUAAGAAGGAGAGUAAAGAAGGAGCAGGUCAGAAUUAACACUGCUGGUAAACGAAGCAUGAAGAGAAAUGGCAAAAGCAGAGUGAAAUUCUGGUGGCAAUGGCAUGCAAUAAAAUACACAUUAUUGUUUCAAAAUCUUCCUGCUUGCUUAUUAAUUUGGCAUCAAUAAUUGGCCAUGUCCCACUGGAUAUGUCCCACUAAAAGGUGGAAAGUGGUGGAUGGGUGAUCUCCCCUUUGCUCCUCAGAGCUUCACUGGGGCUUGGCCAGAUCUGGGACUACCUGGUAGGAGAAUAUAGCCUUCUGCCCUCAGUCCUUUCCUUAUCUUCUAAGGCAAUGCACUGAUGCAUCAUCACAACUUCAGUACUCAUCACGUCAGCCAGAAAGAUGCAUGAGUUUCUCUUUUAAUUUUGAGUUGGGAUUGGAUUUUGAGCUUUUCCUUCCUAGCAUCUACUUGGGCUCCCUGAAUCACUCUUCAAAGACUCUCUAGGACAGCAGUUCUCUGCCCUGUUUGUGAUUUGAACCCAGGUGGCGUUUACAACCUGUGUGUGCAGCUACGUGAAUGUUGCAUCUACACUAGCAAACUGCUUGCAAGGAAAACCUUGCAUUUUCCAGAGACUGCAGUCUUCCCUGGAAGCAGAUAAGAGAUAAACAGACUGAAAAAUGGAUAAAGCUGCUUACAGGCAUUACUCCAUGGUCUUUUCCUUGGUAUUACCUUUAAUUGCAAAGUUCUGGUAACUAACCUACUGAGUCUUUUCCUCUUGUGUCACACUUUUAAGCAGUCAGCAAGUAGGCUGGAGAGGGCAGACCUACACAAACACACUCCCGUACUGGGUCUUCUCUCGUCGUAGGUUCCAUCUUUAUUCUCUGGCCUGUGCUGGUACUAUGAUGGCUAAGACAUAAUAAUUACUUUUUAAUGUAUAUUUGGGGAUGGAGCUGAGUCCAAAAUACCUGAAAUAUUACGAGGACUGUGUCUUCUUAUGUUUGCUGCAGGUGGAGGGAGUUUCUUUGUUGCUUGGCCCCUCUUGCAGAACACCAGAAGACUUUGUGUGUGCAUGCAGUUGGCCAUAUGGAGAGCAGGUCUCCAGCAGAAUCCAGAUGCUGAGCUGUUCGGCAACACAGUUUUAAGAUACCAGAGACCACGAAGAGCACGCCGAGGGAGGAGGGGUGGAUGGAAUUGGUAACAUCCCGGGAGUGAUCUGUGGAAGGAGAGGGAUUGCUUAAUAUCAUCAGUCUGUCUUUUCAUCUGACAGCACCUUCCAUGCUCUGCUUUUUCAAAAUCCCCUGUGAAAUCCACCAAUUUUGAACAAAUUCUUCUUAAACAGUUCACUGCUGGAGGAAAGAACUUGUACAUUAUUCCUAGGGGAGUGCUAUCCCUUGUGGAGGCUCAAAGCAUGUGGUUUGUGUAUCAGACUUCCUAGAACAAGCUUUGAGAAGACCAUCUAGGUGGAGACAAGGCACUUUCACUCAUGCUUUCAUAGACAUGGACCAUGGUGAUUCUUUACAAGCUGGACUAGUCACGAUCUCUGUCAGUCCUUGGACAUUGUGUCAAAGGGUGAGAGGAGUGACUUUGAUCUGCUGAAAGACCUUGAAGAUCUUCCUGAUAAUUCAAGAUUUCUUUGGGCUGGAUUUUUUUGGGCUGUUUCUCUUCACCUGUGUCAUCGGGGGACUAGGUUCUGGUGUUUCUAAUGAGGCUGGUAUCUGAGAGCUGGUGUAUCUCCGAAACCUGGGGAAGAGGAGAUGAAAGAGGAAGCUCCUUCAGCAAGGCAUGAAGGACAGUGAGACCUUAAGAGCUCUACAUCUCCAGGAGGACUCCUGGCAAGGGAGGCUGAAUUGCUGCCUUGGAGAUUGCUCCUCUUCCAGAAGCUCUGGCCUCGCCACCAUUGUGUGGUGGCCGUGCUGAGUGGGUCACACACAGCUGACGAGUACAGCAGUGAAUGUCAUUUGCCUCUGAGUCCUGGCCAGACACCAGGAAUGAAGGACUGGGGACAACAGUAGCGGCGAUGGUGUUUGCUUGGAUCUCAUGUUACCUUGCUACGCGCCUGUUGAGGCAAAUGUCCCUAGAGUAGCCAUGUGCACGGAUUUCUCCAGAGCUGGCUGGCCCUAAUGACACCUUCAUGGGUCGAGGUGAAAUGUCCCAAGCACCAAAAGAUUCUUCUUUCAGAUGGCUGCCUUCUGAAUGGCUUCCAUUUGCAGAGAGAUUCCAGCCACACGGAAAAUGUGACUUCUCCCAGUAUACCUCAUCAAAAGGAUCAGAAGGUUAUCAAAAUGUUUGAAUCUAGAAUCAGCUUUGUGCUAUAUAAAGCAAACUAAUAUUUUGAUAGAAGCAUUGGUGUGAAUGAAGCUUUAAAAAAUUUAAAAGUGUUAAUCUUUGGUUGCAUAAGGAAGGGGGUUGUGUGGGUUUGUGGGUUUUCUUGUUG